rnacentral:lncRNA from 1 species
ACCCAGGAAGCAGAGACGGCAAGCGCUGCCAGGAGAUCCAGAGAUACCAGUGUUAGAAGACUCAAGGCAGCAUGCUUUGUUUUGUCUGCCCAGGGGACUCAGGCAUUGCAGGCUGCCCAGAGGAGUGUCCAGUGGGCCAUAAAGCACGUGUCCAUGGAGAUCCAGCACAGACGGCAUGAAUGCCAAGCAGGACCUGGACGCCCUAGGCCUCAAGCCUCGGUCUUCCAGGACCCACCACCAGAGCCAGGUCCAUGUGGAGAAAGACGCCAAAGCGUUGCCAACACGACCCGGGCUCACGGCCGCAUAGUCGGUGGCAGCACGGCUCCAUUGGGAGCCUGGCCUUGGCUAGUGAGGCUGCAACUUGGGGGCCUGCCUCUGUGCGGGGGCGUUCUGGUGGCAGCGUCCUGGGUGCUCACGGCUGCACACUGCUUCGCCGGUGCCUCGAAUGAGCUUCUGUGGACUGUGAUGCUAGCC